GGACACCCUGGCCCCCGGGAUGCCUGUGGGCGGUGGUGUGAUGGGUCUAUCUUUAGCGGAGAGAGAAGCACAGAGAUGCACCCCCCAUGUCUGCCACCCAGGCAAGCACUCACCCUAAACAACCUCUAACAGGCAGGGGUGCCCCCUCCCCCGUCAGCCUGCUCAGCAGUGAGGCAGUUAACCCCCCUCCCCAGCAGGCCUGCCCCUGCCAAGGCUCCCUAAAAGGCUCACUGCUGACACAGCAGACCUCAAAACGAUCAGCGUGACAGAUGGCCACGGCAGACACUCGUCCUUUUUAUAGGCCCGACAUUAAUCCGGAGAGAUUGACAGCGGCCCUCUCAUCUUUGAAAUUUUUUUUGAAAGCUGAGCAAACAGCCCUCGGGGAGCAUAACUGAAGAGCCCAAGGCCACUUGCUGGGUGAACAGUGGUGAACGAAGCCAGAGUGGCUCUCUCAGCCUGGCCCUGUUGGACUCCUGCGUCUCACCGCCACCGCCCUGACUCCUCGGUUCAGUCUGCUGUUACAGGGACUCUGGGGCUGCCGGAAGUCACUGAGUGACUAAGAUGGACCAGCCUCGCCAGAAGUGACACCGCCAACAUUUAGAGCAGGUGUGUGCUGAAAGCAACUGCUUUCCCGCCCAGCAGCCACCAGGUUCCAGAUGCUAACAUGAUGUCAACCGAACUUCCCUGGGCAGAUGACCACAUCAAUAUGUCCUGGAACCCCGCUUCCCCAGAACCCUGCACUACUAGGGAAUGAGAGAGACAGGUUGGAGUACGGAUGGAACCACCAACACCCAUGUUCAGUGGGGAAGCAAUUACAGAAGCCAGACCUUCCACCUUCUGCACCCCAUGACCCUGGGUCCAUGCUCCCAGAGGGAUAAAGAAUAGGAAAGCUAUCAGGGGAAGGAAGGGAUGGGAUACGGAGUUCUGGUGGUGGGAAUUGUGUGGAGUUGUACCCCUCUUAUCCUACGUUUUUUGUCAGUGUUUCCUUUUUAUAAAGAAAAAAGAAAAGAAAACUGG